rnacentral:rRNA from 1 species
CGCGACCCCAGGUCAGGCGGGACUACCCGCAGAAUUUAAGCAUAUCAAUAA